GGGGAGUAUGUAUAACAAAGUGGGGGUAGGUGUUAAUUUCUGGUAGAUGUUAAUUGAUGAGAAAAUAUUUGAAUCCGUAAAAGAGAGGGAAGCAAUCAGGUCCCCAAUCCCCAAACAAGAAGAAGAUGAAGAAAACAUCCAAAAUCCUUGGAAAUUCACACCGCAGGCUGCGCCAAUUACAGCGAAGAGUUCCCCAAAAUUUAGGGGAAAAGAAGAAAGAUGACAACGAUCUUAAUCCACACAGCAAUGGCUACAGACCCAAAUUCUCCUAUUUGGUCAUGGCCUGGUCAAAUUUGUCUAAAUCAAGCCAAUGGCGGAGAAUCGUCAUUCUUCAAAUGUCUGUUAUUUUUUGUUAUCAUCUUCUCCAUACCCUUACCUUCAUGACUCUCCUCCCUCGCCCUCACUGCUCUCUUCAAACAAAAAUCUUGCCCUCAAUUCAAGCGGCUGCGGCACCAUCAUCCUGAACCUCUUUGCAAAAUGCCUCCCUCCUCGUAUCCACCCGAAGAUGGGAUUCCCUUAAACACCACGGCGGUCGCCAUUGACAAGGAUAAGAACAGCCACCACGCCGUUCGCUGGGCUAUUGAUCAUCUGGUCAUUAGCAACCCACUUAUCAUUCUCAUCCAUGUUAGGCAUAAAGCUAAUCAGGGAGCGAGCGAUUCUGAAAAUGGUGAAACUGAUGCCCAGCAGCUGUUUGUUCCUUAUCGUGGAUAUUGUGCUCGUAAAGGGGUUCAGCUGAAGGAGGUUGUUCUUGACGAUCCUGAUAUUCCCAAAGCGCUUGUUGACUACGUUCACAAGAACUGCAUCAACAAUUUUGUAGUUGGAGCUUCAACCAGGAGUGCUUUAGCAAAGAAAUUUAAAGGUCCUGAUAUUCCAACCAGCAUAAUAAAAGCAGCCCCAGAAUUUUGUUCUGUUUAUGUAAUAUCGAAAGGGAAGAUAAUAUCUGCCAGGGCAGCUCUUCGGCCAGUGGCUAAUACUGCCAUGCCACCAAGGCAACCAGCGCCGCUUGGAGUUCAGCCAAAUGUUCAACCUGACACCAGCAAUGAACCAGAAAAUGGAGCCAAAGUGCAACCAGCAAAGGAAGGAUGGAAAAGUGCAGGUACAGAGAGAAUGCUUGCUGAAAGGAAUGGUGGUGGAAAACCAGCAAAAGCAUUGACCCGUGAGAGGCCAAAAACUUCUCCGACGAAUAUAUCAUUGGAAAACAUAGAGGUUCCAAAUCGAGGGUCUAGGUCUUCAUUUAGUCGAGAUUCGAUAUCUGAUGACUUGACUGCACAGAUGGCUUUUGGUUCAAUGGACGUGACUGCUCAAAAUUUAGAUUUCAGUGUUAGCCCAAAUCUGUCAUUGGACUCUGCUUCCACACAAUCUACUCGGGAACUAGAGGCUGAGAUGAAAAGAUUGAAGCUGGAAUUAAAACAAACCAUGGAUAUGUAUAGCUCAGCCUGCAAAGAGGCAAUCUCAGCCAAGAACAAGGCGAGAGAACUUAGUCAGUGGAAGCAAGAUGAGGCACGUAAGUUUGAGGAAGUCAGGCUAGCUGAAGAGGCUGCUCUCGCUAUCGCUGAGAUGGAGAAAGCCAAGUGCAAAGCUGCCAUUGAAGCAGCAGAGGCAGCACAAAAGCUAGCCGAAAGAGAAGCCCAGAGAAGAAAACAGGCUGAAAUGAAAGCCAGACGAGAGGCUGAAGAGAAAAAACGAGCCUUGAAUGCUCUAGCUCAGAAUGACGUCCGAUAUAGAAAAUACACUAUAGAGGAGAUUGAGGAAUCGACUGAAAAGUUCUCUGAAAAAAUGAAGAUUGGAGAAGGUGGAUACGGUCCUGUUUAUGGUGGCAAACUUGAUCAUACAGCUGUUGCGAUUAAAGUUUUAAGACCUGACGCUGCUCAAGGACGGAAGCAAUUCCAACAAGAGGUGGAGGUCCUCUGUUGCAUUAGACAUCCAAACAUGGUUCUUCUUCUUGGGGCUUGCCCCGAGUAUGGUUGCUUGGUAUAUGAGUACAUGCAUAAUGGGAGCUUAGAAGACAGACUUUUCCGGAGAGGGAAUACUCCUCCAUUAUCUUGGCGACGGCGAUUCAAAAUAGCUGCUGAAAUUGCAACUGCACUCCUUUUUCUUCACCAAGCAAAGCCAGAACCGCUCGUUCAUAGGGACCUUAAACCAGCUAACAUUCUCCUGGACCGCAAUUAUGUAAGCAAAAUCAGUGAUGUUGGCCUGGCCCGGUUAGUCCCACCUUCUGUAGCUGAUCAAGUCACACAAUAUCACCUGACUUCAGCAGCUGGCACAUUUUGUUACAUUGAUCCUGAGUACCAACAAACAGGGAAGUUAACAACAAAAUCGGAUAUUUACUCGUUUGGAAUAAUGUUACUUCAAAUUAUUACUGCCAAGCCUCCAAUGGGUCUGGCUCACCAUGUGCAAAGGGCUAUUGAGAAAGAUAGGUUUGAUGAGAUGCUUGAUCCUACAAUUUCAGAUUGUCCAUUGGAGGAGGCUAUAAAUUUUGCAAACUUGGCAUUGAAAUGCGCUGAACUGAGGAAGAGAGACAGGCCAGAUCUUGGAACAAUUAUAGUUCCAGAGCUCAACAGGUUAAGAGAUAUAGGGAGGAGUUCUGACAAACGUGAAAGCCGAAAUCAGUAUCCACGCUCUGCUGCAUCAAGUUCCAGUUCGAGGCCGCAGUCAUCAAAUGAGGAUUCCAGAAUUAGUUAUACUGAUGAAGGAAGUUAGAGGCCAGCGUAUGACAAUGGUGACGGUAUACAAAAGACCGGCUAACCCAGAAGAGGAAAGUUGCUUGAUUUAAUGACUGCUUACAGAAGGGUUAUGGUAAUAGAACCUGAAGGGUCAACCCUUGUGAAAUAUCCUUAUUAAAAUAGGGAAUUUUCCAGGAAGGAAUUGAGGAGCCCAGGUUGGGAAGAAAAGUAUAAAGCAAGCAUGAACAAAAGGAUUAAAGUGCAGGAAUUAUACAAGGAGAUGGGAAUCCACAUAAAGGUUGAUUAUGUUUUCAGAAAGGUAUAAGGAAAUGUAGUGUGAGAAACAAGCUUUUCUUGAGAUUUUUGUUUGUAUUUUCUUGAAGCACCCAAUUCAAGCUUCUAGCUUUUGGAUAAA